CUCGUCCGCGUCCUCGGUCAGUCACCCCCCGAGCGCUGCCGAAGCCCACCUCCUGGCGAUGGGGCUCACUCAGACCAUCGAUCGCAAUAACCUGGCGACGCUGCCGCGACAGAGAUAGCGGGCGCCGCAAUGGAGUGACGGAGAGGCGGGAGGAGGAGGCUGCAGCCUUCGCGGCGCUUGAUAGGAACGUCUGCCUCCGUACAUGAGCGGCGCAGAGGCCGAAGGAUAUUUCAGAGAGAGACAGAACGGGGAGAGA
rnacentral:lncRNA from 1 species